rnacentral:rRNA from 1 species
AGUCGAGAGGGUUCGGCCCUCGGCUGACGGCUCAGUAACACGUGGAUAAUCUGCCCUAAGGUGGAGGAUAACCUCGGGAAACUGAGAAUAAUACUCCAUAAGUCUAAGAUGCUGGAAUGCACUUAGGCUGAAAACUUCGGUGCCUUAGGAUGAGUCUGCGGACUAUCAGGUUGUAGUCAGGGUAAAGACCUGACUAGCCUACGACGGAUACGGGUUGUGAGAGCAAUAACCCGGAGAUGAUAUCUGAGACACGAUAUCAGGCCCUACGGGGCGCAGCAGGCGCGAAAACUUCGCACUGCGCGAAAGCGCGACGAGGGGAUCCCAAGUGUAUGCACGUAAGUGUAUACUGUUUCUCUGUCUAAAAAGCAGAGAGAGUAAGAGCUGGGUAAGACGGGUGCCAGCCGCCGCGGUAAUACCUGCAGCUCAAGUGGUGAUCGUUAUUAUUGGGCCUAAAACGUCCGUAGCCGGUCUUGUAAAUGCCUGGGUAAAUCGUAUGGCUUAACCAUACGAAUUCCGGGUAGACUGUUAGACUUGAGACCGGGAGAGGCUAGAGGUACUCCUGGGGUAGAGGUGAAAUUCUGUAAUCCUGGGGGGACCACCAGUGGCGAAGGCGUCUAGCUAGAACGGGUCUGACGGUGAGGGACGAAGCCCUGGGGCGCAACGGGAUU